UCAGGGAUGGUCUAGAUAAUACUCAGUCCUAUUUCAGUUCCAGAAACUGGACUAGAUGACCUACUGAGGCACUGUCCAGUCGUACAUUUCUGUGAUUCUAUGCUAACUGCUAAUGCUGUUCUCUGAUGCCUCAUGUACUCUAUGCUGCCGAGUAACACACAAUUGCUCGUGACACAACCAGGGGGAGGGAUCAAUAUAUGAAACGCAGAAAACCUAUCUGGCAGAAAUCAGGCCACUGUCUCUCUCGGAAAUGUCUGAUGUCUGCUAGGCUCCCAAACGAUUAACUCUUGCAGAUCUGAAACAGUAGCAGGAAACUAACCAACUACAGCAAAUUUAUUAGAAAUUGCACAGCAAACCCAUAACAUGCCUGUUUCUGGUUUUGCUCAGUUAGGGCGGCUCCCUUCUGAGAAGACUCUUGUAAAUAGGAUUAAUUAGUAAUGGAGCUCAAAUGAUCAGAGCUGGAAGAUCACAGCUCAUAUUGGGUCAGCUUGUGAAUGUCAUGAGUGCAUCUUCUAGCCUGUUUUGUGGUACUAAUGUUUGCCAUGGAGACUCAAAUCACCUAAGGUCUAACAAGCAAAUAGAUGUUUGUGUGAUCACCUGCAGUACCAACAGCAUGGAAUUCAUGGGCACCAUCUGGAAAAUCCUAUGAGACUCUAGCAUAGAAAAAAAAAAAGAGGAGGUACAUCUGCUAUCACACAGAAAUAGGAAUGAAUAUCUCUUGGAUUUCUCUGCUGAAAUAGAAAAGCACAGCAUGUAAUUCUAAUGAUACUGAGGUAGAGAGAAUUACUGAGCCUGAUUCUGAUCGCAGGACUAUCCACUCAUCUCAACUUUUGCGUUGCUCCUGCUGGCCAGACAGUCAAAGAUUCUCACAGUGUUGGGGAAACUCUGGGUGGCAUAGAGCUUGGCUACGCUAGCCCUACAUUGCUCUCCCUUGCAACACUGGCAUGCAGGGAGAGUGCAUGAUUGGAGCACUGCCACACUAAGGCAAUCCCUGGCUGGCAUAAUGGCUCUUCAGUGUAAAGCUGUGGGGGAAUCAGAUGAUCCGCGCAUACACAAAAAUAUAUUAUGGCCCUGAUUUUCCACUGAUAUCCACUGAGUCUGACUAUUUACACCAGUGCAAAGUAGGAGGAGUGAAAUGGUAGCUUUUCAAUUUGAUAGUAUAUUACCCCCACAUAGCACUCUUCUAAAUGACCACAACCAGCACAGAGCAAUAACAAAAGAAUGAUAUAAUAACCACUGGCAGAAGACUUGAACUCAGUGUCAUCUUGCUGGGACAGCUCAGAUGCUGCACCCAAGAAAUUGCAUUGAAUGGCUCCUGACAGUAAUCCAGGCAGGCUGCGACACUGUCAGUUAUAAUCAAGUUUAUUCAAAAAUGGCCUCAGUCACAAAUGGUUAGCUAUCUCAUCUGUCAUGGCUGAGCAGAGACUGAAGCAAAAGGUCAGGUCCAUCAUGUAUGACAAGGGUAUCAGGAACGCCUCCAUGGAUUGUACUACACAUGAUUGCCCCAGACCUGUUUUGCAUUAACUUGCUUUUGUUUUCUCCCUUAACAUGUUAAAAAAGAGUGUUAUCC